rnacentral:rRNA from 1 species
UCACCCCUAUGUGCACCACCGCGUGGGUCCCCCUUUCGGCUUGUUCGGAGGGGGGCUUGCGUUUUCACACAAACAUUGAUGCAGUGUAGAAUGUCUUUUAUUUUAUUUGCGAUCACACGCAAUCAAUACAACUUUCAACAACGGAUCUCUUGGCUCUCGCAUCGAUGAAGAACGCAGCGAAAUGCGAUACGUAAUGUGAAUUGCAGAAUUCAGUGAAUCAUCGAAUCUUUGAACGCACCUUGCGCCCCUUGGCAUUCCGAGGGGCACACCCGUUUGAGUGUCGUGAAAUUAUCAAAACCCUUUCUUUUUGGUCUUUUGAUCUGGGGAAAGGUUUUGGACUUGGAGGCCUUUUGCUGGUUUCGCCUUGAAGCGAGCUCCUCCUAAAUGAAUUAGUGGGGUCUGCUUUGCCCGAUCCUUGACGUGAUAAGAUGCUUCUACGUCUCGGGUUUGGCACUGUCCCUUGGGCACCUGCUUCUAACC